rnacentral:rRNA from 1 species
CCUACGGGAGGCAGCAGUGGGGAAUCUUGCGCAAUGGGCGAAAGCCUGACGCAGCAACGCCGCGUGCGGGAUGAAGGCCCUCGGGUCGUAAACCGCUUUCAGCAGGGACGAAAAUGACGGUACCUGCAGAAGAAGCCCCGGCUAAAUACGUGCCAGCAGCCGCGGUGAUACGUAUGGGGCGAGCGUUGUCCGGAUUUAUUGGGCGUAAAGAGCUCGUAGGCGGUUCAGUAAGUCGGGUGUGAAAAAUCUAGGCUUAACCUAGUGGAGCAUCCGAUACUGCUGUGACUAGAGUCCGGUAGGGGAGUGUGGAAUUCCUGGUGUAGCGGUGAAAUGCGCAGAUAUCAGGAGGAACACCAACAGCGAAGGCAGCACUCUGGGCCGGAACUGACGCUGAGGAGCGAAAGCGUGGGUAGCAAACAGGAUUAGAUACCCUGGUAGUCCACGCCGUAAACGUUGGGUACUAGGUGUGGGGAGGAGUCAACCCUCUCCGUGCCGCAGCUAACGCAUUAAGUACCCCGCCUGGGGAGUACGGCCGCAAGGCUAAAACUCAAAGGAAUUGACGG